rnacentral:rRNA from 1 species
AUGAACAUCUGUAUUUUAGCCUCUUGGGUGAGUAGAUACUAUAAUGUUGAGGGUAAGAUUUGGAAAAAUAUUAUUGAUUCUAAAAAUAACCUCCAGAGUCCUAAUAUUUUUUCUUGCUUCACUUCUGGGGCUUCACCCUUCUGGAAGGGUGUACUUUGGGCAUCUCAUCCUGCAAAAGUUGGUUUCUCCUGGAGCAUAGGUAAUAGCAAAAGCGUUAGAUUCUGGGAGGACCAUUGGUUUGGCAAUGCUACCUUAGCUACCCAAUAUUAGGAUAUUUACAUUCUAACUAACGAGCAUAAUUUCACUAUUGACACAGUCUGGGAUGGUAUUAAGCUUAAGCUCACUUUCAGGACAUGUUUCACUCAAUAA